UACCUCCCUUCACUUAUCAGAAUACAUAUGUUGAAUAAAUGCUCAUUGUAUUAAUGUAGUUAUUCUCAAUAUCACCAGACUACAGUAUUAUAAUGCACAUUUAUUCAACAUAUGUAUUCUGAUAAGUGAAGGGAGGUA